AGUGAACGCUGGCGGUAGGCCUAACACAUGCAAGUCGAACGGCAGCACAGUAAGAGCUUGCUCUUACGGGUGGCGAGUGGCGGACGGGUGAGGAAUACAUCGGAAUCUACUUUUUCGUGGGGGAUAACGUAGGGAAACUUACGCUAAUACCGCAUACGACCUACGGGUGAAAGCAGGGGAUCUUCGGACCUUGCGCGAUUGAAUGAGCCGAUGUCGGAUUAGCUAGUUGGCGGGGUAAAGGCCCACCAAGGCGACGAUCCGUAGCUGGUCUGAGAGGAUGAUCGGCCACACUGGAACUGAGACACGGUCCAGACUCCUACGGGAGGCAGCAGUGGGGAAUAUUGGACAAUGGGCGCAAGCCUGAUCCAGCCAUACCGCGUGGGUGAAGAAGGCCUUCCGGUUGUAAAGCCCUUUUGUUGGGAAAGAAAAGCAGCAGGUUAAUACCCCGCUGUUCUGACGGUACCCAAAGAAUAAGCACCGGCUAACUUCGUG
rnacentral:rRNA from 1 species